rnacentral:lncRNA from 1 species
GUUGCGGGGCCGUGGGGCCCCCCUGAGGGCCGCACCGUGGGGUCCGGCGGGGGCCGCAAGGGCUGUGGGUCAUGAGCGGGGUUCGGGGGCCCUGGGGCGCCUGUGGGGGCGCACUGUGGGGCGCAGUGCGGGGGCGUGGGUCGCCAGUGGGGUGUGGGGGCCGUGGGGUGCACGCAGGGGCCGCGCCAUGGGGCGCAGCGGGGAGCGUGAGGCACCGGUGCGGUGCGGCGGCUGUGGGGCACAGCGGGGCCGUGGGGCUGUGGGGUCCCCCCCCCCCAUGGGCUUCCGGGGAGCCGGCGUUUCACCCAGCUGUGCAAACAUUUACACUCGCAUGUGUUUAUCAUGCUCUUUCCACCUUCAGAUCCGAGCCGGUGGGGGCUGGCCGCAUCCGAAGAGGGAUGAAAAGCCCUACGUGCGCACGCGGGCUGAGCAGCGAUUUUGCAAGGAGGGAAGGGGACCUUGUGUUUUCACUUGUUGCAGAAGCGGUGAGUUCAUUCUGAGUCAGCUCGUGCACCUGGGAAAAUUUAAUUCACCCAGGCGAUGCUCCCAGGCCAAACAGAGGUAUUAGCACAGUCAUCCCUUCAACAUGACAUUAUUUCGUUGGUGCUGUAACUCCCCUGUUAUUAGCUUGGAAACGAGCUUUACAAUGGAUUGCGAAGGGGAUAAAUGGGAAUGAAGGGGUGAAAUUAAGAGAGCAAACGUUUAGGUUAAGUGCCGAAGCUUCUCCUUGAGGAAGUACUGGGAGUUGCUUGCAGCACCUACAACUUGACAAGGCUGAAGACUUGUAAACACACAAACAGCCCUAUGCUGGCAGGGACAAGGGCUAGGUGACCUGUUACGUAUUUUCUAUCUGUACCUUCAGUGCAAGGAUUUUGCUUUAAUUGGCCAUAAAUCAUCUAUUUAAGUCACUUCUAUGGCUCCCAGUAGUCUAGUAUCUGGACACCAUCCAACCUUUCAACGUGCUUAUACUCACACUGCUCUGCGGGAGUAGGAAAAUACUGAGACACAUUUUGCACAUAGGAAAAUGAGGCAAAGAGAGCUGAAGGGCCUCAGCCACAGCUUCCAGGUGGAUAUGAGCACAGAGCAUCCAUUCAGUUGUUCCUGUUAGGCAACCAGGAACAGUUAGAGGAAAUCAUCUUCCCUCUCAUAGGUGAGUGCUCCAGUCACAAGGUCGGAAUCAAGCUUUCCUGACCCUAGGAACUAUAACUAUUGUGGAACAGCUUCACUGUGAGGUGGGAUACAGCCUCUGCUCUGGAGAAAAUGGCCAAUAGCGGUGCACUCCCCGGGAACUGGGGAAAGUGGGCAGCGGAGGACAUUGAGUGCCGCUGAUGUAGGCUAGGUGCUGGAGCAUGGUGUAGCAAAGAAGUGGGGGCACGUAGAGGAGGGCAUUACAUCCUUGACCUUCCUUUGACCAGAAAAAAAAGAUACUCUAGCUUAUUGUAAAGGCAAAGCACAAAGGCACCUAACUCUGCAGGAGAGUUGGGGCUGCGUGCACUGAUU